rnacentral:lncRNA from 1 species
GCGACUUUUGUGCGUCUAGACAUGUCUUUUCAAUGGAUUCUUCAAUCUCCAAUGCGAUUCUGAUAGCAUAAGUCACAUGUAAGGGUCAAGUGUAGACACAGCCAUAGACUUGCAUGUUUUUUCAAAAAGGAACGACAACUUUUUGGAAGUGUUGAGAAACUUGUUGGAAAGUGUUGGGGAAAUUCCUUAUCAACGUUUUGUUGUAAUAAGGUUAAUUGAGACGGAAUCAGCCUUUUCAUAACGAGCUGCCAUCUGAUUGGUCCUCACUAAUUAGGCCUAAUUCAUUGCUCUGCAGUUGAUUUUACCUGCGUGUUGGCCUCUAUGCGCAUGUGCGCGUAAGCAUCAAUCUGGCGAUGUCUUCCGAACAGAAGAGAAACAUAGUUGUGUUUUUAUGUAUAACUGUAGCUUUUUCUAACUUGAUGUUCUGUGGUGCGUUGAGUGUAGAAAAGUUUAAUGUUCUCGAUGGUUUUAAUGCGGAUCAUGAAAAGGCGUCAAAUGCUGACAGAGAGCCGAGGAUCAGCACAAAACAAGACGCCAAGCACAAAUCUGAGUACCUGGGCGGACUGGCCAUUCUUCGGCGCAAUCUUCGACCUACUGUUAAUAAUUUCAGCAUUCAUGAACAGAGUGCAGAGUCCAUUGACGUUCCUGAGAACUCCAUAAAUAAUUCGAGUCAACCCAACAUUGAUCUAAAGUCAACUGAUUUGCGGGGGCCUUUGAAUGUCCAGAAAAGAUCUCUGGAUUACAAUGCUGGACAUCAGGCAGUCUUCAAAGGGUACAUGUCUGUUAAGGAGAGGGACGGGAGCAGAUAGGUUUUGAAGGCCACGGUUUUCAAGGGAAGGUCUAUGGUCCAUCAGCUGAGCACAACCCCCACUCCAGUGAAUGGCUGUCGAUGAGGCCUCUGGUCCAGUGUAAUGACAACCUCAUGAUGCUCACUGCAUCUGGACGAGGAUACACACAUCUACUGGUGGAUAGAGCGGGCGCCUCUCCCAUCUCCCUGUUCCAGCUGCCGCCGUCCUGUGGUUACCAUGUGAAGACUACCUGAGAGAGAUGGUGAU